rnacentral:rRNA from 1 species
GUCGAGCGGUAACAGGUGUAGCAAUACAUGCCGACGAGCGGCGAACGGGUGAGUAAUGCUUUGGAAUCUUCCCAGUAGUGGGGAAUAACCAGUCGAAAGAUUGGCUAAUACCGCAUACGUCUGUAAAGGGAAAGCGGGGGCUCGUAAGACCUCGCGCUAUUGGAUGAGCCAAAGUCGGAUUAGCUAGUUGGUGGGGUAAUGGCCUACCAAGGCGACAAUCCGUAGCUGGUCUGGGAGGACGACCAGCCACACCGGAACUGAGACACGGUCCGGACUCCUACGGGAGGCAGCAGUGGGG